AAUACAUGCAAGUCGAACGGAAGUUUAAGCAAUUAAACUUUAGUGGCGAACGGGUGAGUAACGCGUAAGCAAUCUGCCCCUAAGACGAGGAUAACAGUUGGAAACGACUGCUAAGACUGGAUAGGAGACAAGAAGGCAUCUUUUUGUUUUUAAAAGACCUAGCAAUAGGUAUGCUUAGGGAGGAGCUUGCGUCACAUUAGUUAGUUGGUGGGGUAAAGGCCUACCAAGACUAUGAUGUGUAGCCGGGCUGAGAGGUUGAACGGCCACAUUGGGACUGAGACACGGCCCAAACUCCUACGGGAGGCAGCAGUAGGGAAUUUUCGGCAAUGGAGGAAACUCUGACCGAGCAACGCCGCGUGAACGAUGAAGUAUUUCGGUACGUAAAGUUCUUUUAUUAGGGAAGAAUAAAUGAUGGAAAAAUCAUUCUGACGGUACCUAAUGAAUAAGCCCCGGCUAACUAUGUGCCAGCAGCCGCGGUAAUACAUAGGGGGCAAGCGUUAUCCGGAAUUAUUGGGCGUAAAGGGUGCGUAGGCGGUUAAAUAAGUUUAUGGUCUAAGUGCAAUGCUUAACAUUGUGAUGCUAUAAAAACUGUUUAGCUAGAGUAAGAUAGAGGCAAGUGGAAUUCCAUGUGUAGUGGUAAAAUGCGUAAAUAUAUGGAGGAACACCAGUAGCGAAGGCGGCUUGCUGGGUCUUUACUGACGCUGAGGCACGAAAGCGUGGGGAGCAAACAGGAUUAGAUACCCUGGUAGUCCACGCCGUAAACGAUGAGUACUAAAUGUUGGGUAAAACCAGUGUUGAAGUUAACACAUUAAGUACUCCGCCUGAGUAGUACGUACGCAAGUAUGAAACUUAAAGGAAUUGACGGGACUCCGCACAAGCGGUGGAUCAUGUUGUUUAAUUCGAAGGUACCCGAAAAACCUCACCAGGUCUUGACAUGCUUCUGCAAAGCUGUAGAAACACAGUGGAGGUUAUCAGUUGCACAGGUGGUGCAUGGUUGUCGUCAGCUCGUGUCGUGAGAUGUUGGGUUAAGUCCCGCAACGAGCGCAACCCUUAUUGUUAGUUGCCAGCACGUAAUGGUGGGGACUUUAGCAAGACUGCCAGUGAUAAAUUGGAGGAAGGUGGGGACGACGUCAAAUCAUCAUGCCCCUUAUGACCUGGGCUACAAACGUGAUACAAUGGCUGUUACAAAGGGUAGCUGAAACGCAAGUUUUUGGCGAAUCUCAAAAAAACAGUCUCAGUUCGGAUUGAAGUCUGCAACUCGACUUCAUGAAGUUGGAAUCGCUAGUAAUCGCGAAUCAGCAUGUCGCGGUGAAUACGUUCUCGGGGUUUGUACACACCGCCCGUCAAACCACGAAAGUUGGCAAUACCCAAAGCCGGUGGCUUAACUUCGCAAGAAGAGGGAACCGUCUAAGGUAGGGUCGAUGAUUGGGGUUAAGUCGUAACAAGGUAUCCCUACCGGA
rnacentral:rRNA from 1 species